GAUGAACGCUGACAGAAUGCUUAACACAUGCAAGUCGACUGUGGCGGACGGGUGAGUAACGCGUAAAGAACUUGCCUCACAGAUAGGGACAACAUUUGGAAACGAAUGCUAAUACCUGAUACUGUGAGAGAGCUUUGCGUCCCAUUAGCUAGUUGGAGAGGUAACGGCUCCCCAAGGCGAUGAUGGGUAGCCGGCCUGGGAGGGUGAACGGCCACAAGGGGACUUGGACACCGCCCGUACGCCUGCGGGAGGCAGAAGUGGGGACUAGUGGCCAAUGGACCAAAGUCUGAUCAAGCACUUCUGGGUGAACGAUGAAGUUGUCGGAAUGUAAAGUGCUUUCAGUUGAGAAGCGGUACCAACAGAAGAAGUGACGGCUAAAUACGUGCCAGCAGCCGCGGUAAUUC
rnacentral:rRNA from 1 species